CAGCAGACACAUUCCAGCCAAUCAGCAGCAGACCCUCCCUCUCACCUCCUGGACAGCUCACUAAGAAUGCAGCUUCACAAUGAAUGUAAAAUGGAUGCUGUCCAGGAGGUGGGAGGGUCUGGGAGGGAGGGUCUGCUGCUGAUUGGCUGGAAUGUGUCUGCUG